GCUGCUCGUAAUAAUAUCACACACCUCUCCGUGGUGAGCAGCAGGCAACGAUCUUAUGAUCGGCGAAGAUGUGAGA
rnacentral:ribozyme from 1 species